rnacentral:lncRNA from 1 species
AUUUUAUUCUGAGGGGCUCCAAAAUCACUGCAGAUGACUACAGCCAUGAAAUUAAAAGAUACUUGCUCCUUGGAAGGAAAGUUAUGACCAACCUAGACAGCAUAUUAAAAAGCAGAGACAUUGCUUUGCCAACAAAGGUCCAUCUAGUCAAAGUUAUGGUUUUUCCAGUAAGUCAUGUAUGGAUGUGAAAGUUGGACUAUAAAGAAAGCCAAGCACCAAAGAACUGAUGCUUUUGAACUGUGGUGUUGGAGAAGACUCAAGAGUCCCUUGGACUACAAAGAGAUCCAACCAGUCCAUCCUAAAGGAAAUCAGUCCUGAAUAUUCAUUGGAAGGACAGCUGUUGAAGCUGAAACUCCAAUACUUUGGCCCCCUGAUCCCAAGAACUGACUCAUUUGAAAAGAACUGACUCAUUUCCCCUGAUGCUAGGAAAGAUUGAAGGCAGGAGGAGAAGGGGAUGAUAGAGGAUGAGGUGGUUGGAUGGCCUUACUGACUCGACGGACAGGAGUUUGAGUAAGCUCUAGGAGUUGAUGAUCGACAGGGAGGCCUGGCGUGCUGCAGUCCAUGGGGUUGCAAAGAAUUGCACACAACUGAGAGACUGAACUGAACUGAUACUCAAGACGCUCUCCAGAUGGUGAAACUGAUUAAAUGGAAUAUAUCCACUCUGAAAAGCUGAGUGGCAGUAGUUGGAAAUUAAAAACACCAAGGUCAUUCUGAGUCAUGAAAUAAAAAUCUGGAUGACUUCAGUAUAAGAGCUGUAAAUCAGAAAGAUCAGCAGCGCAUCUUCUGAUGGGACUCUGCAUGAAAUGUGUGGAUCAGCCCUGUGCCCGGAGAUGGCCCGUGACUCAGAGACCAGCAAGUCUGCCAUUGCCUGGUCAACCCUAGCUGUGACGAAGCCUCCCGGACUCCUCCCUACUUCAUUUCCUGGUGCCACAAUGACAGGAAAGCACUCACAGCCAGCCAGCCCGCAGGCCUCGACGGUGGACAGCAGUUUACCAACCCUCAGGAGCCUGCAAAGUACUGCGCACUUUCUCUAAGUCAAUGUUAG